rnacentral:rRNA from 1 species
AUUGAACGCUGGCGGCAGGCCUAACACAUGCAAGUCGAGCGAGCGGCGGACGGGUGAGUAAUGUAUGGGAAUCUGCCUAGUGGCGGGGGCUAACUAAUCGAAACGGUGGCUAAUACCGCAUACCAUUGGAGCAGCCGAUAUGGGAUUAGCUUGUAGGGGAGGUAACGGCGCACCUAGGCAACGAUCCAUAGCUGGUCUGAGAGGAUGAUCAGCCACACUGGGACUGAGACACGGCCCAGACUCCUACGGGAGGCAGCAGUGGGGAAUAUUGGACAAUGGGCGCAAGCCUGAUGCAGCCAUGCCGCGUGUAUGAAGAAGGCCUUCGGGUUGUAAAGUACUUUCAGGCGGGAGGCGUUACCGACAGAAGAAGCACCGGCUAACUCCGUGCCAGCAGCCGCGGUAAUUC